UACGGGGGGGGCAAGCGUUGUUCGGAAUUACUGGGCGUAAAGGGCUCGUAGGCGGCCAACUAAGUCGGAUGUGAAAUCCCCAGGCUUAACCUGGGAACUGCAUCCGAUACUGGAUGGCUUGAAUCCGGGAGAGGGAUGCGGAAUUCCAGGUGUAGCGGUGAAAUGCGUAGAUAUCUGGAGGAACACCGAUGGCGAAGGCAAUCCCCUGGACCUGUACUGACGCUCAUGCACGAAAGCGUGGGGAGCAAACAGG
rnacentral:rRNA from 1 species